rnacentral:rRNA from 1 species
UACGAAGGGGGCUAGCGUUGCUCGGAAUCACUGGGCGUAAAGCGCACGUAGGCGGGUCGUUAAGUCGGGGGUGAAAUCCUGGAGCUCAACUCCGGAACUGCCUUUGAUACUGGCAAUCUAGAGACUGGAAGAGGUUAGUGGAAUUCCCAGUGUAGAGGUGAAAUUCGUAGAUAUUGGGAAGAACACCAGUGGCGAAGGCGGCUAACUGGUCCAGUACUGACGCUGAGGUGCGAAAGCGUGGGGAGCAAACAGGG